UACGUAGGGGGCUAGCGUUGUUCGGAAUUACUGGGCGUAAAGCGCACGUAGGCGGACAUUUAAGUCAGGGGUGAAAUCCCGGAGCUCAACUCCGGAACUGCCUUUGAUACUGGCGAUCUUGAGUCCGGGAGAGGUGAGUGGAACUGCGAGUGUAGAGGUGAAAUUCGUAGAUAUUCGCAAGAACACCAGUGGCGAAGGCGGCUCACUGGCCCGAUACUGACGCUGAUGCACGAAAGCGUGGGGAGCAAACAGG
rnacentral:rRNA from 1 species